rnacentral:misc_RNA from 1 species
GUUCAUGACUAGAGAUUGGAGGGUUAGGUUUUUGUCGUGUGUAUGGGGAGGGAAUCAGCGCUGUGCAUAUUGAUUAGUUAAAGCUUCACGUACCCAUGCUUGAAGGUUUCAGAUUCUCCAGCAAGUCCUUGAAGGUUUUAGGGAGAUUUCAGAGAUGAAAUUGCGGGGGGUUUCAUGGCCUAGUAGGGUUGCCGUUUCGCUGAGCAUUCAGUCUCCAUCAAACCAAUAAAGAACAGAAAAAGGGAAUGUCCAAAUUUAUUGGUAAAGGUGGAACUAUUUGGAUGGGAGAUUCUGGUUCAGCAAAAA